GACGAACGCUGGCGGCGUGCCUAAUACAUGCAAGUAGAACGCUGAAGGAGGAGCUUGCUCUUCUGGAUGAGUUGCGAACGGGUGAGUAACGCGUAGGUAACCUGCCUGGUAGCGGGGGAUAACUAUUGGAAACGAUAGCUAAUACCGCAUAAGAGUAGAUGUUGCAUGACAUUUACUUAAAAGGUGCAAUUGCAUAACUACCAGAUGGACCUGCGUUGUAUUAGCUAGUUGGUGGGGUAACGGCUUACCAAGGCGACGAUACAUAGCCGACCUGAGAGGGUGAUCGGCCACACUGGGACUGAGACACGGCCCAGACUCCUACGGGAGGCAGCAGUAGGGAAUCUUCGGCAAUGGACGGAAGUCUGACCGAGCAACGCCGCGUGAGUGAAGAAGGUUUUCGGAUCGUAAAGCUCUGUUGUAAGAGAAGAACGAGUGUGAGAGUGGAAAGUUCACACUGUGACGGUAUCUUACCAGAAAGGGACGGCUAACUACGUG
rnacentral:rRNA from 1 species